rnacentral:lncRNA from 1 species
ACUACAGUUAAAACUCGAUCUAACGUAACCCGAUUUUACGAAAUUCCCGUUCUAACGAAGAAAUUUCAAUUCCCCGGCAGCAACACGUACUGUUCAAUGCC